AAAAGCUAAAUACGGUUCACUCAUAUAUGUUUGAGAAUAUGGCUCAGACGUUUCUACCUUAUCACCGUAAAUGAUAGGACUAUGAGUAAAAAGUGAAUCUAG
rnacentral:ncRNA from 3 species